AUUGCACGCUGGCGGCAGGCCUACCACAUGCAAGUCGAGCGGAGCGGCGGACGGGUGAGUAAUGCCUAGGAAUCUGCCUGGUAGUGGGGGAUAACGUCCGGAAAAGGGCGCUAAUACCGCAUACUAUCAGAUGAGCCUAGGUCGGAUUAGCUAGUUGGUGGGUUAAAGGCAUACCAAGGCGACGAUCCGUAACUGGUCGGAGAGGAUGAUCAGUCAAACUGGAACUAAGACACGGUCCAGACCCCUACGGUAGGCAGCAGUGGGGAAUAGGGGACAAUGGUCGAAAGCCUGAUCCAGCCAUGCCGCGUUUGUGAAGAAGGUCUUCGGAUUGUAAAGCACUUUAAGUUGGGAGGCGUUACCAACAGAAUAAGCACCGGCUAACUUCGUGCCAGCCGCCGCGGUAAUAC
rnacentral:rRNA from 1 species